UCCUGAUUGGAGUAAGGCCUGUAGUCGCUUCUCUGGCUGCUUUGCUUUUAUUGCUCCAUCUGUUACCUAGAUAACUAGAGCUAAUACAUGCCGACAAGGACUGACCCUCAGGGAUGCAUGCAUUUAUCAGACCAAAACCAACCUGGGACCCCCAUGCCUUGCUGCUUUUGUCUGUCCCACCAACUUUUCAUGGUACUUUCUGUGCCUACCAUGGUGAUGACGGGUAACAGGUAAUCAGCGUUCGAUUCCAGAAAGGGAUUCUGAAAAAAAGACCCAACCCAGGGAGGUAGUAACGGAAAAUACCAAAACAGGAUUGUCUUUGGCACGUUCUGUAGUUGGAAUGAAUUCACUUUAAAUCCUCUAAUGAGGAUUUAUUGUAGUGCAAGCCUGGUGCCAGCAGCCUCUGUGAAUCCAGUUCCAAU
rnacentral:ncRNA from 1 species